CCUACGGGAGGCAGCAGCAAGGAAUUUUCCCCAAUGGGCGCACGCCUGAGGGAGCAACGCCGCGUGGAGGACGACGGCCUUCGGGUUGUAAACUCCUUUUGGGGGGGAAGAGCAUGACGGUACCCCCCGAAUCAGCCCCGGCUAACUCCGUGCCAGCAGCCGCGGUAAGACGGAGGGGGCAAGCGUUGUCCGGAAUCACUGGGCGUAAAGCGCGUGUAGGCGGUCGUGUGCGUCGGUGCUGAAAGCGCCCGGCUUAACCGGGCGAGGCGUGCCGAUACGAUGCGACUGGAGGCAGGCAGAGGGUGGCGGAAUUCCGGGUGUAGCGGUGAAAUGCGUAGAGAUCCGGAGGAACGCCGGUGGGGCAGCCGGCCACCUGGGCCUGACCUGACGCUGAGACGCGACAGCGUGGGGAGCAAACCGGAUUAGAUACCCGGGUAGUCCACGCCGUAAACGCUGCCGGCUCGGUGACUGGGCGCCGUUCUCGGCGCCUGGGCGCCUUAGCUCACGCGGUAAGCCGGCCGCCUGGGAG
rnacentral:rRNA from 1 species